rnacentral:rRNA from 1 species
GACGAACCGGGCGAACGUUGUUCGGAAUCACUGGGCUUAAAGGGCGCGUAGGCGGGCUGCCGCGUCCGGGGUGAAAUCCGUCCGGCUCAACCGGGGAAGGGCCUCGGGUACGGGCGGCCUCGAGGGGGUAGGGGCGUGCGGAACUGUGGGUGGAGCGGUGAAAUGCGUAGAUAUCAGGAGGACACCGGUGGUGUAGACGGCUCUCUGGACCGUAACUGACGCUGAGACACGAAAGCGUGGGUAGCAAACAGGAUUAGAU